UUCUUGUUUGUUUUUAAGAAAUGUUUUCUGCUCGGUGGUGUUAAACAGCCGCGGUAAUUUGACCGUGCGAAGGUAGCAUAAUCAUUUGCCUUGUAAUUUGGGGCUGGAAUGAAUGGAAUUACAGAGGAUUGUCUUUCUUUUCUUUUUUGGUAGAAUUUGUUUUUUGUGUGAGGAGACACAGAUGAAGUAAAGGGACAAGAAGACCCUUUUGAGCUUUAUUUUAUUUUAUCUUUUUAUCUUAGUUUAUUAGAUUUAUGAAAUUUGGUUGGGGCGACCGAGGAAGAUGAGAUCUUCCUUUUAGUUAAUUGGUAAUUUAUUGUGUUUUUUGUUGUGGCAUAUUAUUUUUGAUCCUUAUUUUUUGAUUGAAAGAUUAAGUUACCAAAGGGAUAACAGCGUAAUUAUCUUUGUGAGUUCUUAUUAAAGAGAUAGAUUGCGACCUCGAUGUUGACUUUUAGUUCCUUUUUGGUGUAGUAGCUGUUUUAUAGGAGGUCUGUUCGACCUUUAAAUCUAGACGUGAGUUGAGUUCAGACCGGCGUGA
rnacentral:rRNA from 1 species